CAAUAGCGUAUAUUAAAGUUGUUGCAGUUAAAAAGCUCGUAGUUGGAUUUCUGAUCGAGACAUCAGGUCGGGUCCGAGAGGAUCAUGUACUUUGAUUUUGUUUUGAUCAUCCUUGGGGAGAGCAUUUCUGGCAUUCAGUUGUCGGGAUUGGGAUCCUCAUCGUUUACUGUGAAAAAAUUAGAGUGUUCAAAGCAGGCCUCGGCCUCUGAAUACAUUAGCAUGGAGUAAUAAGAUAGGACUUUGGUGGUCUAUUUUGUUGGUUUGCACGCCAAAGUAAUGAUUAAUAGGGAUAGUUGGGGGUAUUCGUAUUCAAUUGUCAGAGGUGAAAUUCUUGGAUUUAUGGAAGACGAACUACUGCGAAAGCAUUUACCAAGGAUGUUUUCAUUAA
rnacentral:rRNA from 1 species